CACGUAGUUAGCCGGGGCUUCUUACUCAGGUACCGUCAUUUAUUCUUCCCUGCUGAUAGAGCUUUACAUAACGAAUUACUUCUUCACUCACGCGGCGUCGCUGCAUCAGGGUUCCCCCCAUUGUGCAAUAUCCCCCACUGCUGCCUCCCGUAGGAGUCUGGGCCGUGUCCCAGUCCCAAUGUGGCCGUCCGCCCUCUCAGGCCGGCUACUGAUCGUCGCUUUGGUAGGCCGUUACCCUGCCAACUGGCUAAUCAGACGCGGGCCCAUCGUAUACCGUCUCGGCUUUUCACACUCCAGUAUGCACUGCUGUGCGCUUAUGCGGUAUUAGCACCUAUUUCUAAGUGUUACUCCCCUGUACUACGGUAGGUUCGCCCACGUCGUUACUCCACCCGUCCGCCACUAAGAUACUACUUUUUCCUUACAGACGAACUUCCUACUACUUACCAAUAUACUUCCCCGUUACGUACUUGCUAUGGUUGGUUAGGCCACCGGCCCGCCAGUCGUUCACUCCUGACGCCAGGACUACAAACUU
rnacentral:rRNA from 1 species